ACGCGGAGUGGGAUCCAUAUACUGCGGGGUAAUUGGCAACUCGUGUGGUCGGAAGAGCCAUCUGGUGUGCGGGCGGCGAAGGUCGGCUCUCCACACAAACACGAGCUCAGUGACGACUUGCCUGUGAGAGUGAGUGUACGGCUCGACUGGCCUCCGAUCCCGCAAUGCUUCUAUGAUAGAAAACCUCCUCCCCGUGUGAUUUUCGAGGGAAUGAAGCAGUUGUUGUGGAAAUCAUAUGGUAUUCUCCCAGCGGAGUGCGAAAUAUAAGCUGUGUACGCCCGAGAGAAGCAGGUUUUGCUGUGAGGAAUUUUAGCAGCGUGUUGGAAACUGGUAGUGGUCGCGUGUUGCGUGGAGGGGCGGCGGGGCCUCCCUCACCUCACCGCGUCCAGCGCCUCGCCUCUUCCCCCUGCCAAGGCGACACUGUUCCACCAUGGACUGAUCCUGAGCCGCAACACUGUGCCUGGCUUUUUGUUUGGUUCGCCAUUAGUGGUGUUUUUAGUUAGAGGAGGAAACAAGGCAGCGACACGACGAUGGCCUGUUUAAGAUCUCGCUCGGUGGUGUGCCCGGCCGUUUUGUUAUUGGUGGACGGCUGUGGUGGUGGUGGUGAUCACGCUGCUGCAUCUGGCCAGUGUGGGUGGUGAGCGACGAGGCAGGUCCCCGGCAGCGGCUACGUGGAAGUACCAUGUUGCACGCAUCACUUUAGGCAUCAGAAAGGUGAGUGUGCGUGUGUACGUGCGUUCGCGUGUGUGUGGGUGCCGGGUAGGCCUACCGGUGUCCUCUCCCGCUGGUGGUGGUGCUCUUGAGGGAGACUUAAGAGCGAUCUCUGAGGCCACGUCUGACGAGUGGGAGGCGGAAGAGGAGGACGAGGAGGAGGAGGAGGUAAAGAAGAAAGAAAAAGUAUGCCUGCGUCAGGAGUGCACACAGUGAAGAGCAGAGGACACGCCCCUUGCAGCACCCCGCUCUGCUCCCCUUGCUCUGCAGCUGGUGGUCACUGGGUUUCAUUCUGAGGGAGACGUGGAUGACGACUAUUGCUUAAUCAUCUAGCGAGCCUUUUAUGCUAAUUACUUUUAAUGACAAAAUCCUGUAGUUUUAAAUUAAUACCGGGAAGAGAAAUUUAGGUCAGGCUGGAGCGAAGCGAGGGGUCGGCGUGACUCGAUGCAGUGCGGAAAGGGAAGAAGAUAGUAGAAAACUUAUAAAUAUAAAUACUUACUGUCUUUCUUGAGUUGUUAUUGUGUUAUUCCCAUUUCGUAUUUGUCUGUUAUCCGUUUGUGUGUCUCAGGUUUGUGGAUGGAAAAGAAGGAAGCGUAGAAAAUUUAUUUUAUAUAUGUAUACUUACUGUCUUUAAGUUGUUUUGUGUAACUUCAACGUUAGUGUGUAUUUGUCUGGUUUCCAUUGCUCUACGUCUCAUUUCUGUGGUGUGAAUAGAAGUAUAUUAAGUGUGAACUAAUUCCUUGAAAAGAAAAAACAUCUCGUAUAUUAAGUAUAAAUAGUAAUUCCUUGGGAAAAAGAAUAACUACCUUGUGUAUUAAGUAUAAACAGUAAUUCCUUGGGGAAAAAAAAAAAAACUUGUGCAGCAAAUAUAUUCCUGGCCUAAUAUGUGGUUUUAAAUAACCAUGCGCCAUUAAAUAUUAGGAGUCAUUUAAGACUUUUAGCGGCUUGGGUUUUAACAUAUUGGUAAAAAAAAACGUUAAUGGUGAGUUAUUAUUUUUAUUGUCAUAAUUAUGAAAUCAUUUCCAUACGGACAGUAUUAUUUAUGCAUUUAUGGAGUGCCGUGUCACGAAUGCCUGCUGUAAUAUUUAUUUGAUUUUUGUGUACGUUAAUUGUCCAAAUGAUAAAUGAUGUGCAUUGCAGCCUAUGUGCGAGAGAGAGAGAGAGAGAGAGAGAGAGAGAGAGAGAGAGAGAGAGAGAGAGAGAGAGAGAGAGAGAGAGAGAGAGAGGUAAAAUAUUUUGAUCACCAGAGAUAACAAUAAUAAUAGUACUAAUAAUAACAGUAAUAAUCUUUUAGCUCUUCCAUAUCAUGUCUCCCUCCGUACACUCUCUGGAGGUCUUCUCUGGUGCUUCCUUCAAACAACCUCUUACUCUUUUGCUCUUCCAUACUGUCUCAAGGUCCUUUCCGGUCUCCUUCCCACAACCUCCUAGUCUAAUUCUCUUCAAAGACUCUCCUCCUCCCUCCUGACGUGUCCAUACCAUCCCAGUACCUCCUCAGGACAUUCAUCACAUCCUACACUCCAAUCCUUCUCCCUUCCAUUACCGUAGCUGUAAAAAAAUGGGAGAGAGGAAAAAUAAUGAAACGUGAUGAUUUUAAAGUAGAAAACUGAAUAUUUAUUAGGUAUUUUUUUACAAUAUGUUCAUUUAUAUAUGUAAAUGUACACAUAUGCUAAUAGGUAAUUAUUCGGAGCUAUCAAAAGAAAAGCUUGAUGAAAAAAUGGUAUUAGUAGUAGUAGUAGUAGUUAGCAACGCAAACAACAACGGUAUUAGUUGCACUGUAUUACCACCACCACCACCACCACCACCACCACCACCACCGCCACCACCACCAAUACCAGCACCAGAAAUUACAUUAUUACUUUGUUAUGUGUGUUACUUUACUAUGUCACUAAGAAUUGACAUGGUGGUGGUUAAGGAAUUGUUGUUGUUGUUCUUGUUGUUGUUGUUGUUGUUCUUGUUGUUGUUAGUAGUAGUAGUAGUAGUAGCAGUAGUAAUAAUAGUAUUGUUGUAGUAGUAAUAGUAGUAGUAGUAGUAGUAGAACCAGCAGUAUCAGUUAGACGUUAGGUGUACAAGAGCAACAACAACAACAACAACAACAAUAACAAUAACAACUAUUAUAUACUGCCACUGCCAAAACUAAAACAACUACAGUUGCCGUUGCUACUAGAACAUAUUUUGACUAUCAAAUUUUACUAAGUACUACCAACAACAACAACAGCAACAAACAACAACAACAAUAACAACAACAACCACCAACGCUGGCGGCCGUAACUCCAGUCAGGCAGCCACCGUGAGUUUCUUGUGUAACUGCGCCUUGAAAAUAUUGCAAGGGAACUUGGGUAGGUGUCGCCCUGGUCCCCGUGCGCGGCAUUACGUGGCUAUCCCGCGUCCGAGCGCUCGUAAAUUGGACCUGUGUACAUUGAUCGUCUUUUUCACUGUAGUUACGGGGGUGGGGGUGUGGCUAGGGAGUGCUGGUGGGUGUGGCUAGCUGCUGGUAGGUGUGGCUGGGUCAUGGUACUGGGUGUGGCUUGCUUACACCGCUAUGGGCUUAGUUAUAUGGGCGUGUAUGGAUGUCACAGUAGCAAUUCAUGUUUGGGGAGUGUAUAGAUGGGUUGGAGAUGUGGGUGGCUGUGGGCGUGGCCGAGUGUUGGGUUGGUCUGGUCAUGCUUCCAAGGGCACCAUUUUGUAGCUGGGGUGAGGUGAGGUGUCCGCCCGCCCCGGGCAAGGACGGCCUCGCCUCGCCUCGCCUCGUCCCACUCAGUCGUAGGAGCGUCUGUGGGCUUCGGGACUUUCUGGCUGGCUGGCUGGCUGAGAGGCGCGGUCCCGUGGGCUGGCGGGUUGAUGUUAAUGUUUAUUGUGUGUUGUUUAUCUUGUUGUUGUUGUUGUUGUUGUUGUUGUUGUUGUUGUUGUUACUGCUGCUUCUACUACUACUACUACUACUACUACUACUACUACUACUACUACUACUACUACUACUGCAGCUGCUGCUGCUG